rnacentral:rRNA from 1 species
GACGAACGCUGGCGGCGUGCUUAACACAUGCAAGUCGAGCGGAGCGGCUAACGGUUGAGUAACUCGUGAGUAACUGCCCCCCUCUCUGGGAUAACAGUUAGAAACGGCUGCUAAUACCGGAUAGUUGGGGAUGACUCGCGUCCUAUCCGCUUGUUGUUGGGGUAUUGGCCUACCAAGGCGACGACGGGUAGCCGGCCUGAGAGGGCGACCGGCCAAAUUGGGCGGAGAUACGGCCCAAACUCCGACGGGAGGCAGCAGGGGGGAAUAUUGCACAAUGGGGGAAACCCUGAGGCAGCAACGCGCGUGCGGGAUGAAGGCCUUCGGGUUGUAAACCGCUGUCAGCCAUGACGCGGUAGUGGCAGAAGAAGCACCGGCUAACUACGUGCCAGCAGACGCGGUAAUAC